UCGAGCGAACGGACGAGAAGCUUGCUUCUCUGAUGUUAGCGGCGGACGGGUGAGUAACACGUGGAUAACCUACCUAUAAGACUGGGAUAACUUCGGGAAACCGGAGCUAAUACCGGAUAAUAUUUUGAACCGCAUGGUUCAAAAGUGAAAGACGGUCUUGCUGUCACUUAUAGAUGGAUCCGCGCUGCAUUAGCUAGUUGGUAAGGUAACGGCUUACCAAGGCAACGAUGCAUAGCCGACCUGAGAGGGUGAUCGGCCACACUGGAACUGAGACACGGUCCAGACUCCUACGGGAGGCAGCAGUAGGGAAUCUUCCGCAAUGGGCGAAAGCCUGACGGAGCAACGCCGCGUGAGUGAUGAAGGUCUUCGGAUCGUAAAACUCUGUUAUUAGGGAAGAACAUAUGUGUAAGUAACUGUGCACAUCUUGACGGUACCUAAUCAGAAAGCCACGGCUAACUACGUGCCAGCAGCCGCGGUAAUACGUAGGUGGCAAGCGUUAUCCGGAAUUAUUGGGCGUAAAGCGCGCGUAGGCGGUUUUUUAAGUCUGAUGUGAAAGCCCACGGCUCAACCGUGGAGGGUCAUUGGAAACUGGAAAACUUGAGUGCAGAAGAGGAAAGUGGAAUUCCAUGUGUAGCGGUGAAAUGCGCAGAGAUAUGGAGGAACACCAGUGGCGAAGGCGACUUUCUGGUCUGUAACUGACGCUGAUGUGCGAAAGCGUGGGGAUCAAACAGGAUUAGAUACCCUGGUAGUCCACGCCGUAAACGAUGAGUGCUAAGUGUUAGGGGGUUUCCGCCCCUUAGUGCUGCAGCUAACGCAUUAAGCACUCCGCCUGGGGAGUACGACCGCAAGGUUGAAACUCAAAGGAAUUGACGGGGACCCGCACAAGCGGUGGAGCAUGUGGUUUAAUUCGAAGCAACGCGAAGAACCUUACCAAAUCUUGACAUCCUUUGACAACUCUAGAGAUAGAGCCUUCCCCUUCGGGGGACAAAGUGACAGGUGGUGCAUGGUUGUCGUCAGCUCGUGUCGUGAGAUGUUGGGUUAAGUCCCGCAACGAGCGCAACCCUUAAGCUUAGUUGCCAUCAUUAAGUUGGGCACUCUAAGUUGACUGCCGGUGACAAACCGGAGGAAGGUGGGGAUGACGUCAAAUCAUCAUGCCCCUUAUGAUUUGGGCUACACACGUGCUACAAUGGACAAUACAAAGGGCAGCGAAACCGCGAGGUCAAGCAAAUCCCAUAAAGUUGUUCUCAGUUCGGAUUGUAGUCUGCAACUCGACUACAUGAAGCUGGAAUCGCUAGUAAUCGUAGAUCAGCAUGCUACGGUGAAUACGUUCCCGGGUCUUGUACACACCGCCCGUCACACCACGAGAGUUUGUAACACCCGAAGCCGGUGGAGUAACCUUUUAGGAGCUAGCCGUCGAAGGUGGGACAAAUGAUUGGGGUGAAGUCGUAACAAGGUAGCCGUAUCGGAAGGUGCGGCUGGAUCACCUCCUUU
rnacentral:rRNA from 1 species